rnacentral:rRNA from 1 species
UCGCUCUCGUUAAUAAUAUGAGAAAAGUCGUAACAAAGUAGAUGUACUGGAAAGUGUAUCUGGAUAGACAGGUUAGAGCUUGAUAUAAAGCAUCCUAUUUACACUAAAAAAUUAAUUGUGAAAUUCAGUUUAUUUUGAAUUUAAAGAUUUAUUCUUAUAUGUUUAUAGAAAACGUUGUUAAUUUUAUUGAUUUUAUUAAAAACCCUUUUUUAUUAUAGUUUAUUAUAACAGCUAUAGAAUAUUUAAAAACUUGUUAAAGAAAUUUUAGUUCGAUGUACAUUUGUAUCAUGGUUUAUUAAUAUAAAAAAAUAUGUUUUUCCCGAAUUUAUGGGCUUUAAUUUAAUUUUAUUUUAUUGUUUUAUUGUUUAUAUUUUAUUGGAAAUUUAAUGUUAUUCGGUUAUGAAUAUAUCUGGUUCUUGGAGAAAUGUAUUCAGGUCUUGAUGAUAUUUUUAUUUUUUUUGUAUAUCUAAAAUUUAAAGGGAUAAGCAUUUGACUGAUUUAUAAAUUUAGAAAUUUUGUUCGAGUUGUAGGCUUGUAGGAUUAGAAAUUGUCAUCUUUCAAAGUAUGGUAUAUGUUGAUUAUAAUUCAAUUUAAUUAUUUAAGUUAUAAUGGUAGAAUUAAUAAUUUUUUAAAAUUUCUCUAGUUUGAAGAAUUGGCAACAUAUUUUUCGCCUGUUUAAUGAA